AUUGAACGCUGGCGGCAGGCUUAACACAUGCAAGUCGAGCGAGCGGCGGACGGGUGAGUAAUGUCUGUGAAACUGCUUGAUGGAGGGGGAUAACUACUGGAAACGGUAGCUAAUACCGCAUACCAUCAGAUGUGCUCAGGUGGGAUUAGCUUGUCGGUGUGGUAAGGUCUCACCUAGGCGACGAUCCGUUGCUGGUCUGUGAGGAUGACCAGGCACACUGGAACGGAGACACGGUCCAGACUACUACGGGAGGCAGCAGUGGAGAGUGUUGCACAAUGGGCGCAAGCCGGAUGCAGCCAUGCCGCGUGGGUGAAGAAGGCCUUCGGGUUGUGAAGCUCUUUCAGCGAGGAGGCGUUACUCGCAGAAGAAGCACCGGCUAACUCCGUGCCAGCCGCCGCGGUAAUAC
rnacentral:rRNA from 1 species